GCCGCACCAAAGAAAAUGCUCUCAGCCUUGGACGAUCCAUUCACUCGAUUCUUGAAACCAUUACCUUUUCUGAAGCAAGACUAGCUAGCACCCAAGGUGCCCUGGCAGGUGUACGUUUAUCCAUUGGCUACCCGUUGGAGCAUCACUUGCGGUGCUCUUUGUAAUGUCACUUGGUGGGUUUUGCAGAAAUGACUGUCUAGAGACGUUUUAUCUUGAUAAUUGACAACAUAAGAGUGCAAAAUAUUUGACAGCAGAUCGCUUAUGGGGUCAUCAAGGAAACUCAAUAGAUGGCUAUUUCAGUGGAGAUUAUACCAGAGAUGUUGUUUUGAAAGUAUAUGCCAGGAGAGAAAGAUAUACUUGAAACCCGAUGAGGUCAAUGAUGUGGAGAUUUUACCAGAGAUGUUGUUUUCAAGUAAGAUUUUGUGUGAGAUUAUACCGAUCGCACCAGCACGCCACAUUGUUGCUCCACGGCAAAGGCAGCGAGGUAAUUUUUCUUUUCGCACCGAUGUAAUUUUCCUUUUCUUUUAGCCCACUCCCAGGUCUCUUCCGUUCAUAUUCUAAUCACGCAUGGUGAGCGGCGGUUUCGACAGCAACUGGCUGGCUGCUGCUGGCUUGUACGUGUGGAAGGCAGUUGUUCACGGCAGACCAGUGAGCGGCGGCGGGUGGGCGCGACCACAUGGUGGUUGGAAGGUAGGCUUCGCGGCGUUCAGCCUCGGCCACCAUCGUACCACGAUCUCGGCCCACCCGGAAAGUUGGAUGAAGAGGUGG